UACAUGGGGGGCAAGCGUUGUUCGGAAUUACUGGGCAUAAAGGGUGCGUAGGCGGCUUGUUAAGUCAGGGGUGAAAGUUUUCGGCCCAACCGGAAAAUUGCCUUUGAUACUGGCGAGCUGGAGUGCGUGAGGGGUGACCGGAACGAGUGGUGUAGCGGUGAAAUGCGUAGAUAUCAUUUGGAACGCCAAUGGUGAAAACAGGUAGCUGGGGCUGUACUGACACUGAGACACGAAAGCCAGGGGAGCAAACGGG
rnacentral:rRNA from 1 species